GAUGAACGCUGGCGGCGUGCCUAAUACAUGCAAGUCGAGCGAACAGACGAUGAGCUUGCUCCUCUGACGUUAGCGUCGGACGGGUGUGUAACACGUGGAUAACCUACCUAUAAUUCUUGGAUAACUUCGUGAAACCGUAUCUAAUACCGGAUAAUAUAUUGAACCGCAUGGUUCAAUAGUGAUUGACGGUUUUUCUGUCUCUUUUAGAUGGAUCCGCGCCGCAUUAGCUAGUUGGUAAGGUAACGGCUUACCAAGGCAACGAUGCGUAUCCGACAUGAGAGGGUGAGCGGCAAAAAUGGAACUGAGACACGGAACAGACAACUACGGGAGGCAGCAGUAGGGAAUCUUCCGCAAUGGGCGAAAGCCUGACGGAGCAAAGCCGAGUGAGUGAUGAAGGUCUUCGGAUCGUAAAACUCUGUUAUUAGGGAAGAACAAAUGUGUAAGUAAAUAUGCACGUCGUGACGGUAACUAAACAGAAAGCCACGGCUAACUACGUG
rnacentral:rRNA from 1 species